rnacentral:rRNA from 1 species
ACUCAAAGGAAUUGACGGGGGCCCGCACAAGCGGCGGAGCAUGCGGCUUAAUUCGAUGCGACGCGAAGAACCUUACCUGGGCUUGACAUGCAGGGCAAAGCCGGUGAAAGCCGGCGCUCUACGGAGCCUGCACAGGUGGUGCAUGGCUGUCGUCAGCUCGUGCCGUGAGGUGUUGCCUUAAGUGGCGCAACGAGCGCAACCCUUGUCCUUAGUUGCCAGCGGGUAAAGCCGGGAACUCUAGGGAGACUGCCGGUGCCAAACCGGAGGAAGGUGGGGAUGACGUCAAGUCAUCAUGCCCCUUAUGUCCAGGGCUGCACGCAUGCUACAAUGCGCGGUACAAAGGGCUGCGAUCCCGUAAGGGGGAGCGAAUCCCAAAAAGCCGCGCUCAGUUCGGAUCGGGGUCUGCAACCCGACCCCGUGAAGUCGGAGUCGCUAGUAAUCGCAGAUCAGCAAUGCUGCGGUGAAUACGUUCCCGGGCCUUGUACACACCGCCCGU